UACAGAGGUCCCAAGCGUUGUUCGGAUUCAUUGGGCGUAAAGGGUGCGUAGGCGGCGCGGUAAGUCGGGUGUGAAAUCUCGGGGCUUAACUCCGAAACUGCAUUCGAUACUGCCGUGCUUGAGGACUGGAGAGGAGACUGGAAUUUACGGUGUAGCGGUGAAAUGCGUAGAUAUCGUAAGGAAGACCAGUGGCGAAGGCGGGUCUCUGGGCAGUUCCUGACACUGAGGCACGAAGGCCAGGGGAGCAAACGGG
rnacentral:rRNA from 1 species